CGUAACUGUAACCUUUAUGCACGUAUUUGGAUGUAGUAUUUCAAAUUCUAGAUCAUUAUAGCAUCCAAGCAACAUAACAUUUACGUGUCAAUUUGUUAGGACUAUGAUUGGAUAGGAAUAAGUAACUUGGGAUUGCUAAGUUGGAAUAGUUUUGGAGGAAACAGUUAUCAAUUGUAGUCAAAUGUAUUGAGAAGAGUAUAAGUACUCAACACUAUUGUACUGUACAAUUCAUUGAAUAAAUAAUACAAAUUACUUUUCUCCUAAAGAUUCUAUUCCCUCUGUUUCACCCUCUCUGCUCUUCUUCUUCUUUCUCUGCUCUUUCUUCCUCUGUUCUGUUCUCCCUUCUCUCUUCCAAUCUUCUUCUCUUCUUCUAUAUUCUUCUACCAAUCUCAUCGUCAUCUGGCUUGCAUAUAGUCUCAUCAAACUCCCUGGUGUUCUCAAUGGUGCGAGGAAUCUGCCUUGGAGGAGGCUCCUCGCCCAGCUCGAGAGAGCGCUUCUCAGAGGCAUCUCGAGCCUUGAGCUUCUUUCGCUUCU
rnacentral:misc_RNA from 1 species